rnacentral:rRNA from 1 species
GGUGAACGCUGGCGGUAGGCCUAACACAUGCAAGUCGAACGGCAGGACAGUAAGAUUGUGCUCUUACGGGUGGCGAGUGGCGGACGGGUGAGGAAUGCAUCGGAAUCUACUUUUUCGGGGGGGAUAACGUAGGGAAGCUUACGCUAAUACCGCAUAUGACGUACGGGUGAAAGCAGUGGAUCUUCGGACCUUGCGCGACUGAAUGAGCCGAUGUCGGAUUAGCUAGUUGGCGGGGUAAAGGCCCACCAAGGCGACGAUACGUAGCUGGUCUGAGAGGAUGAUCGGCCACACUGGAACUGAGACACGGUCCAGACUCCUACGGGAGGCAGCAGUGGGGAAUAUUGGGCAAUGGGCGCAAGCCUGAUCCAGCCAUCCCGCGUGGGUGAAGAAGGCCUUCGGGUCGUAAAGCCCUUUUGUUGGGAAAGAACAGCAGUCGCUUAAUACCCCGCUGUUCUGACGGUACCCAAUGAAUAAGCACCGGCUAACUUCGUG